GUGGUUCGGCUGCCGGGGAACCCAGGUGAGCGGCGCUGAAGGCGGAGGCAGCGGCAAGAGAAAAGAGGGCGGCGGCAGCGGCAAGAGAAGAGAAGGCGGCUGGGCGUGGAGCGGCCUCCUAGGGGAAGGCCUAAAUUCCUUCCUACUGAGGAGAACAUGCAAGACAAUGUGAAUAUGUAACUACAUGAUUUGACCACAACUACAUGACUUGAUCAAAGGUGAAGGAGCAAUGACAGAUCAGCAUCCUCAGGAGCUCUGUUGAGCCUACAGCCUCAAGUUGACUCUUUUUAUAACUCAAAUACAUGCCCUUCAUGACUUCCUUCUGCAAGGAACAAAUCUUCCCAAACUCCUCCCAAGAACUUUCUUCAAGAGUUGCUCGACAUUCACUGAGCACUGAUUUUAAUGCUCUGCCCUCAGAAGACAGAAGUAGAAGACAAAUCAAUGCAGUGAAGUGCUCUCGCUUGGAAAGACAUCCAAAGAACACAAGAGGAGUUCCCAAGGGGUGAGAGGCUCUGUGUGUAUGUGGAUGGUCAGAGGCACAGGGUAUGAAGAAAAGUUUUAUGGAAGAAGUACCACUCGAACGGAACGUUUAUUUAACUUUAAAAAACGUAUUCAUUCCCCAGGUUGAGAGAAACAGGGAAAUAGGACAUUCCAAAUGGAUGGAGUGAUAAAAGGAAAUCAUCAUUUUUUCAGGGGGCUGUGAUUAACUCAACACAAGAACAGAUCCAAGGUGAGAGCAGUCACAGAAAAGGCUAGGGAAGCAGGAGCCGGAUCGUAGAAGUCCUUGUUUUCCCCCUCACUAGGGCAGACUGAAUUUCCUGGCAAGCGGGAAUCACCCCUCCCCCACUCCAGCAGAGUCAUUUUCUUUGGUUGAUUUUCUUUCCAAAGGUCAUAGAGCAAAACAGAGGAAAGACUGAACCUUUGAGGCAGCUUGAGUAUUUCCAGAGUGUUCUGGUGAUGUCAAUGCUGACAAAGCCAGUCAUUCGUUGGCUGAUCAUCACUGAGCACCCAGAGGCUGCAGGACAAUUAUCAGGAGUGACAGUUUUCCUUGAUAAAUGCAUCUGUACUUUGCACAAUUCCCAGUUUCCCUUGCGUGCUCCCAGCAUGCACUACUCCCACAUUGGGCACCGGAGGUUGAAACAAGAUGGCAGCUCCCAGAGGAGUGCCUUCAAUUACCCACAACAAGCAUCUGGGCAUAAGCCCCCAGCAUAGGUGAUUAUGGCCACAGGUUAAUCCAGCAGUUCCUCCUAAUUGAUAGCUUGGAGUAUUGAAGAAGCCAGAAGUGGCCACAACUCCCCAAGUUUUUGGAAAAGCCCAGCUGGCUGAGUGUCAGCUUUCCGUUAGACCAAACCUUGGUGUGUUGUUUAACCACAUCACCCU